UACGGAGGGUGCAAACGUUGCUCGGAAUCAUUGGGCGUAAAGCGCACGUAGGCGGCCUGUUAAGUCGGGUGUGAAAGCCCUGGGCUCAACCCAGGAACUGCAUUUGAAACUCCCUUUCUUGAGUGUCGGAGAGGAAAGCGGAAUUCCUGGUGUAGAGGUGAAAUGCGUAGAUAUCGGGAGGAACACCAGUGGCGAAGGCGGCUGUCUGGGCCAGUUCUGACGCUGAGGCGCGAAAGCGUGGGGAGCAAACAGG
rnacentral:rRNA from 1 species